CCUACGGGAGGCUGCAGUGGGGAAUAUUGGACAAUGGGGGCAAGCCUGAUCCAGCCAUGCCGCGUGUGUGAAGAAGGCCCGCGGGUUGUAAAGCACUUUCAGUGAGGAAGAACGGCUGGUGGUUAAUACCUAGCAGGAAAGACAUCACGCACAGAAGAAGCACCGGCUAACUCCGUGCCAGCAGCCGCGGUAAUACGGAGGGUGCGAGCGUUAAUCGGAAUUACUGGGCGUAAAGCGCGCGUAGGUGGCUUGAUAAGCCGGUUGUGAAAGCCCAGGGCUCAACCUGGGAACGGCAUCCGGAACUGUCAAGCUAGAGUGCAGGAGAGGAAGGUAGAAUUCCCGGUGUAGCGGUGAACUGCGUAGAGAUCGGGAGGAAUACCAGUGGCGAAGGCGGCCUUCUGGACUGACACUGACACUGAGGUGCGAAAGCGUGGGUAGCAAACAGGAUUAGAUACCCGAGUAGUC
rnacentral:rRNA from 1 species